UUUAUUCCAAACAUAACCUUAUAAACAAACAGUUGUUUAUUUAGAGUUAUUUAUUAUUGUUUUCUCAUAUUUUGCAAUUGUUAAGUUGGUUUACUUCGAAUUUAAUGUGCAUUACUGUGGUAUUUCUCCAGUUUUCUAAGAAGGUUGGUGAUUUUGAAUUGGGAUUAUGAUGAAUUUAACCCAAAGGCAAUGUGUGUGUUUAUUUAUGUGGCAAAAUUCCAGGCACCAUAAAAAUUUGAGUUUCUUCCUGUUGCCCAUGGCACAGCCCCAUGGAUGAAAAUCGGUUUGCAGAAUGAAAAGAAAUUGUUCAAUGUGAUAAACUUUCUAUGAACAGUCCUCAGUGUUGUUACAUUAACUUUUAAAUAUGCAUCUUGAGGAGCAGGCCUUUGCAGAAAUACUGAAAAGCGGGUUGCAAAACAACGCAAAAUAAAAUAAACGAAAUAUGUCUUGGAAUGAUAAUUUUGUAAUUCUGUAGGCACAUCUAUUGAGAAGUUACAACCAGUGGCAAAGUGCCUUAAGGGAAUCUAUGACAUAUAUAAUUGAAGGUAUGAGUAUAUGUUUCAAAUCGUUGGAUGAUUCUGAGAAAGUGUAAAUUUUUUUCAUGAAUUUGGUACAUAACCGUCUUUAUCUAAACUCUAAAAAUCAUUGACAUCUGUUUUGAAGAACCAUGUUCCUAGAAACCAUUGAUAACAAAUAUAGACGGUUACCUCUGCAUUCGUUGUAUCAUCUUACUACUCUAUCCAUAGUAUCAGCAUUGGCUCUACAGCCCAUGGUGGGUCUUGGCCUGUUCCAGAAUCAGCUUCCACUCUUUCCUAUCCUUUGCUUGGCUUUCCAAUUUCUCACUCGAGCAUGAAUUUUUGGUAUAUAUGGGAUUAUAUUGUGAUAACGACCAGAUCUAUGAAAGAAUAGUAUGUUGUUAAAGAAGAUUGUGGUGACACUAUUCAUGAAUAUCUGAUAAUAUUGGUUAAUGUGAAUGGAGUCCAAAAUGGGGUUUAGGCUGUUAUAUAAAAAACUAGGUCAUUAGCAUAUGGAAGUAAGGCGACAUUAUCUGGUAUUAAAUUAUGUGAAUGAGGAGAAUUAAACCUAAAAACUCUAUUUAUUCUGCUAAUCAAUAUGAAUUUAAUAUAUUUUAAUAUAAAACAUAUGUUAUUCUUUCUAGGGACACCUCCUCUGAAGGAAUUACAAUUAUUUGCCAGUAUGUCAAAUGAAUUUUCAACAUCAGUCAUACUUUCAUGAAUUUAUUGAUGAAAAUAAAACUAGGUACAUGAUUUAUUAUUUACUUCUAAGGGAUUCUAAGAUACUAUGUGUAAAAAGUCCAAUAUGCAGUGAUGAGCAUGCUAAUAACUGGCAAAAUAUGGGAUAUAACGCCAAAGAUGGGAAACAUGGGAUGCAUUCUGAAGUAAAAAGAGAUGAAACUGAGAGAAAUUAUUGAUAUAAACAUAUAAAUUAACAUUGCAUUACAUAGUUUCCCACCUUUAGACAUAUCAGAUGAGUAUGAGAACUGUCACUGUGCCAGGAGAAUUUUAUAAAAUACUCCUGUCACAGAGAUCUAAAGGUGGGAAACUAUGUAAUGUUAUCGUCGGCUAAGAGUGUUAACCUGCUAACUCUAUUUUUCACUGUGAGUGAUAUUGGGGUAGUUUCUAGGUCUGUGUACCUUCAUACCAUGUCCCACAAGCCCGCUGGUUCCACUGUAGUUUAGAGAUAGCUAUUUCUAAACUACAUUGGUGUCGGCGGGUUUGUGUGGUGGUGUAUGAAAAUACACGGACCCAGAAACUAGCCCAAUAUCACUCAAAGUGAAAAAUGGAGGUUAAAACUCUUAUCCAAGGUUAUGUUAAUUUAUUCGUUUAUAACGAUAAGUUCCACUUCUACCAGUUUCAUCUCUUUUUAUCUCACAAGUUAAUAUGUUUUCCAUCUUUUGCGUUAUUUUGCCGGUUAUUAGUGUGAGUGCUCAUUACUGUAUAUUUACGAUUCUGUGAUUUCUCAAUAUGAUGCUGAGUAGGUAUAGAUCUGAGUAGGUAUAUAGUAGGUAUCUACAACCCUUUCAAAACAGAAAUUUAUAAGUUCAUUUUAUGUACCUAUUAAACUUUAUUUUAAGGAUGAAUUUGAAAUGCUUGUAGGGAAUAUAUCUGUAAAAAAUAAAAUUGGUAUUGUAAAAUUGAAAUUCUCAAAAUAUAAUUUAUAAUUCGAA